AAAUCACAUUUAAAUAGAAUCUAUACUUUUAAUAAUAUGUGCACAGAACUGCUUCUUGUGUCAAUUCAUUCUCAUGUCGUCAUUUAGAAAGUUCCUCAUUUCGAGCUCUGGGACUUGUAUCUGCACCGAUCUCAUUUUCUUGUCCAAGUGCCAGUAUCUUUUUCUACAUUAUCUGAUGUAAACAAAAAUAAUCUUGUACAAGUAAAAAAAA